CUCCUAUGUGCUGCUAUUUGAGCCAUUGAUUCUCCUGGAGGAGCCUGUCAUACUGGAUCUCGAAACCUUGUUGUUGACUUUAUAGAACCAUGGAAGUGCAGCCAAUGAUGGGCUGUGCAGGGAGGAAGGCGUGAUGAGCAGCGAGUCUGCAGAGACGUUUCCUCGUUUGUCCUUUGGCUCCUCAUCUGCUGAAUGUCAGGAACUAAUCUGAUGUGAUGAAACCACAUUCAAGGAACAUAGCUAACAGCCCAUAAAAAGCUCGAUGAAGUUUGCAUCUACUUUCUGCCUGUGUGCCUUCUUUGAAGCAUGACCUUUCUCCAGGCUGGGAAAGGAUGAGACAGAGCAUAUGGGCUUGCUCUUGCUAAUUUUACCUAAAGUCAGCUUUUAUUUGCCUCUAAAAAGGGUCAAGACUCUGCAUCUUUAAACGAUGUUGGUGAGCUGACUGCUGAGUCUGAGAGGACUUCAGUAUGGCUGACCCUGCUCCCUCCCUCGAGGUAGAUGAGGAGACUUCUUCCCAUUCUCCUCUGCACGGAUCUCUGUGUCAUAGGAGGCUGCCAGAGUCCACCUGUGACAGCAACUGGGUGAAUAAUCAUGUCCAGUGUAGGAGUCAAUUUUUAGCAAAGCCAUUUGCCUUGAGAUCUAAAGCCAUAAUCUCAACCAAGGUUCUUUUUUUCAAUAAUGAAGCUUUCAAAAUUAUUUUUUUGAAUUUUAUUUUUCAGUUGGUUCCGAACAAGGGAAAAUAUCUAUUGUAAAAUGAAUCAACUGAACCUUUCAUAGAAAGAAAAAAAUCAUCCACUACUUCGCAUCACAUAAAAAGAGAAUAAAAUUCAUUAGGACCUAAAUAAAACAAUAAUUUUUAAGUGUUUUGGCAAAAAAUAUAGGGCACUGUUUUUGUGAACUUGAGUAUAGAGCAGUUUUGUAAGCAAGCAAACAAAAACAUACAUAUAAAAACUAGCUUUAUAUAUUACACUAUAUUAAAUGUCUUGGUACCAAAACCACGUUCCUACAAACAAAAAUACAAAAAUAAGCCACAGAACAAAAUAGGAAUUUUUAGCACAUACAUCUGACAAAGGUUUUCUAAAAAUCUAAAAAGAUAAACAAUCCAAUAGAUAUGUAAGCACAGGAUAGAAAAGUCAAGGAAAUGAAAACUGGUAAAAAUAUCAAGAGGGAUAACACCGUAUUGGAAAUAAAAAAAGAACAAAGGGAAUAUGUAUACUCUAAUGGCAAAUGCAUACAUCUGCACAAUGAUUUUAGAUAACAAUAUUGAAUAAAACUUUUCUUAGUCUGUUUUCUGUUGCUAUAACAAGAUAUCUGAGCUUGGUACUUUGUAAGGAAAGGAGGUUUAUUCAGUUCACAAUUUUGGAAGCUAGGAGACCAAGCAUGGGCAGCCCUAUCUCUUUGACUUGGGCUGAAUCUCAUGAGAGAUGGUAUCAGAAUAGUGUGAGAACAUGCAAGAGAGAGCAAAUGGCAAGUAAGCAAGCUAGGAGAGAGACUCAGGGACCGGGACUUUUUUUUGUUACAACAACUUUCAUGCUAACUAAGAGGCUCAAGAAAACUGCAUUAAUUUCUUCUGCAAUCCCUGUGACCUAAGCAUCUGGCACUAGGCCAGAUUCUUGUUUCACUGCCUCUCCUUGUCAUCAUAAGAGCCAAGUUUUCAGCAUAUGAACAUUUUAGGGACUCACUCAAACCAUGUCCAAGUCAU